GGCGGACUUAAUGUCAUGGUGCUCCGGGGAAUCUACUCCUCCUUUUCACCCGUCCUUUCUCUGCUCUUCCUCUCCAGAUUGGACCCAGCUGUUAGCACUCACCUCCUCAGCACUACUGCUUCUUAAAAAUGGUCUUCUCCAGUAUUCACUGCCAGUUCAUUUGGCCACUAUGGAUCUAUCACUACUAGUGCCGACCUGAGUCCACCCAUCUACUCCCUGUCUGGUUAUGCCUGAGCUGUCGAACUUCAGCCAACCCACGACUUCACGCCACGCAGCCGCCACCAUCAUACUUCAAGACAAGCACCACCGGUCUGCUCAGAACGUAACUACGCAUCGCUACAGAAACGGGGAUUGCUUCACUCACCGUCUUGGACCACGUCCAGUUUCCACUUCCUCCUCCACUGGAACUCAUGCUCCACCAUCAUCCCAAGGCAUCUUCGUAGAUUCCUCCAUCGGCCACAGAACACUUCCCAGAAUAACUGUUUCCCCACCUGAACAAAAAAUCAAUGACUA